rnacentral:rRNA from 1 species
UACAGAGGAUGCAAGCGUUAUCCGGAAUGAUUGGGCGUAAAGCGUCUGUAGGUGGCUUUUUAAGUCCGCCGUCAAAUCCCAGGGCUCAACUCUGGACAGGCGGUGGAAACUACCAAGCUGGAGUACGGUAGGGGCAGAGGGAAUUUCCGGUGUAGCGGUGAAAUGCGUAGAUAUCGGAAGGAACACCUGUAGCGAAGGCGGCUCUCUGGACUCAAACUGACGCUGAGGCACGAAAGCGUGGGUAGCGAACAGG